rnacentral:rRNA from 1 species
AUUGAACGCUGGCGGCAUGCUUUACACAUGCAAGUCGAACGGCAGCGCGGGGGCAACCCUGGCGGCGAGUGGCGAACGGGUGAGUAAUGCAUCGGAACGUAUCCUGUAAUGGGGGAUAACGUAGCGAAAGUUACGCUAAUACCGCAUACGCUCGAGAGAGGAAAGUGGGGGAUCGCAAGACCUCACGUUAUAGGGGCGGCCGAUGUCCGAUUAGCUAGUUGGUGGGUAAAGGCCUACCAAGGCGACGAUCGGUAGCUGGUCUGAGAGGAUGAUCAGCCACACUGGGACUGAGACACGGCCCAGACUCCUACGGGAGGCAGCAGUGGGGAAUUUUGGACAAUGGGCGAAAGCCUGAUCCAGCCAUGCCGCGUGCGGGAAGAAGGCCUUC